UGUUCUAUUUACAUGAGCAGCCCCAAGUCAGCAGAGCCGCGCGGUGACAUCCCGGCGUGGGAAGGGAGCACCCGCCUGCGGCGGGAUCGCUGCUCUGCCGCGAUAGAACCGGCAAAAACAGCGUUCUGCCUUAAGAGGGUGCCGGCGCUGGGCGGACACGGGUGACACCGCGCUGGGGCCGGUGCCACUGCCCGCAUCCCUGCCUGGGGACAGCCCGGCGGAGCUGGGGACGAAGCGUAACAAACGAGUGGUUUCCAGUCAUCCCUGGAUAUUGGCUGCUCUGAGCAAGCAGCACUCGGAAGGGGUUCCCUGUUGUGGGACUGCUGAUGAUUUCCAUAGUGGCAACUGAAUUUCGCUGAUCCAGUGAAGACCGGGAACUGUUUCUGAUUAGAUUUUAUACCAGGAAUACAAAUGUCGUGUUCUCCUUGUCUACCCAGAGCCAUUAACACUAAACUGGAGCUGGUAAAUGUGCUACAGAAACCAGAAACAAAUACAAAUCCCCCCUCCCACGUUCGGGCACACCAGCGGCUCAGCAGUGCCAAAGCUAUCCUGACUUCUUGGAAUAAUUGUGCUGAUGUGCUCGGAGGGCUCCCAGGGACUGGGACAGCGAGUGCUGCCCUUUGUGUGGAGGCACAUUUAGAUAGAGAGGAGGUCAUUGAAGAUAAUUCUGCUUAUGAAGAUGGCUGCUCCUUUGAGUCAACCAAUUUUUUAAUUAUGUGUUACUCUUCAGGUGGAAUUUUGGAUGUUAUUUUCUUUGGUAUCUUUAUGACUCAUGCUUCAGUUGAGCAAAGCAAGCUUCAAUUUGCUAAUGCAAGUGUGUACAAAUUUGAAACUGGUUAGGUUGGGUGUGUCUGCCUAUAGAAACACAUUUUCUUAUAGUUUUCAAUGGAUGUUACUGGUGCAAAAUUAUCUGGCUACAUCUUAGCUGAAUUUAAGCAUUUCAUAGUUUGAAUACCAUUCUUUCAAAGUUAAUUCAACUGGGUAAUUGCUGAGGUUCAGAAAAGGAAAACUGCAUGAAUUGUGAAAAAAAACAGUAAGUGAGUAAGAAGUCAUCUAUCUUGAUCAGGUCACAGGGGUUAUACAACCAGUUGGCAUCACCUCACAUCUGCUGCACAUGCAGGCCAGCUUCCCUCGCACACCCUGUGGAAAGCAGGGGACAAAUGAAAUGGUUUUCAUUGAGAAAAUUAAGAAAUCAUUCUUUUUGUUUUCCUUCAGGCUGUAGCCCAUUGUUUGCAAGGCUUGGAGCGAGCCUGCUCCCUCUUCACCCUUCUGCAAAGAGGCGGGGGAGCAGAGCCCACAGCUCAUUCCUGUUGGGAUGGGAACAUUUCCAGCAUCGUUAGCAGGGAUUCACAGUCCCUUUCAUGCAGAUGUCACAGCACAAGUUAGACAAACCCAGCAGCAGGGAGCAGUGCUGCUCAUGGCUCUGCUCUCCCAUCUGUGCUCCUGGGCUGUGGUGCAGAUGCUCCCACCCUGGCAGGGGUGACCUGUGCAGUGCAAGAGGAACGGCUCAGGUUCUGCUCCCAGCCAAACAAGGCAUCAGCAAGCCCCAAAAGAAGGGAAGGAAAAAGGUGGUUUGAUCCAAGCCCUCUGUGUAAUCCUCCCACCCUCCCCUCCCAGCUGGUCCAGCUGGGACCAUUACCAGCUCCUACUGCUGUGGUCAGCACAGUACAAAAAACAACUUCAAGCCUUCUUGAGGAAUCUUACCAACACAGCGGGGCUUUUGGGGAAAACCGCAAAAAUACAGUUUGCAUUUAAAUGUAGGUCACUCUCCCCGGUGCAUUUCCUGGUACUGCAGAAGUUCUGAUUUAUCACACACCUGCACUGUGUUGUAGGAGAAAAACAAGGCUUACAAAUCAAUAUUUCAAUGUACUAACUCACUGCUUUGCAAUAUAGUUUGUUUAUUAUUUGUAAAUGUACAAAUAUGUGAAAAUUAAUUGUACCAUUUGCUUUCUCAAAAUAAAUAUGUUUUUUUAUCUACCAAUCCAAAUGUUUCCAAAGAACUGAGUGAUUAAUAUCGUCUCUAAAACUGUGAUUAU